rnacentral:rRNA from 1 species
UACGUAGGGGGCAAGCGUUGUCCGGAAUCAUUGGGCGUAAAGCGCGCGUAGGCGGCCCCGAUAAGUCCGCUGUGAAAGUCAAAGGCUCAACCUUUGAAUGCCGGUGGAUACUGUCGGGCUAGAGUCCGGAAGAGGCGAGUGGAACUCCUGGUGUAGCGGUGGAAUGCGCAGAUAUCAGGAAGAACACCCGUGGCGAAAGCGGCGCGCUGGACCACUACUGACGCUGAGGACGAAAGCUAGGGGAGCAAACAGG